CUUCGACUUCGAGGAGUAGUUAGGAGGUCCCAGGUAGGAGGCCUUGCCUUUUCGAUCAUUGCUACUUUUGUGCUAGCCUUCUUAAGGCAAUCUUGUUUAACUUAUGUCUGCACUUAGAUAUUAUUGCUUUUCGCUGACUCUUGUAUUUUUUGAGCUUAUGUAUUCGAGCCCUCGAGGCCCCUAGCUUGUAAUAUAAAGCUUGUAUUAUUUGAAUUUGUGUCUAGAGUUGUGUUGUGAUAUCUUCCCGUGAGGCCUUGAUCUUGAUCAUACACAUUUGCGUGUAUGAUUAGUGUACGGUCAAAUCAGGGGCGUCACACGCAGCCACUUCUCGGGCAGCGCCAACCAACGUCAUCACCCUUCCAGACGACGAUGAGGAGGAACCUCCGAGAAGCAGAGGGGGAGGAGGCAGGUCGACUCCCUCAUGAAGGUUGAUAGGAGAACACCUUCAGGUUAGACAUCUCAUACGCCGCCUGAACUUGCCUUUCAAGAGCCUGGUGGUUCGUCUCAGACCGGUGCUAUCGCUACUGCUCCACCAUCAAUUACUCUGCCAUUGGUGUCAACUCCUCCAACCUUUGAGCCUGCUGGCCAAACUCAAGCGCCAAUUCUUCUGACUGCAUCGUCAGCUCCAUCGCCAAUUGUAUUCGCUCUGCACCAUGUUCCAUAGGACCAGACCAAGGCCAGCAAGGAGGCUACGAUCCAGGCCGGUUUGAUGAUGCAGCGCCCAGAGGAGGUGUAUGAAAGCAUCAAGCUAGAUUAUGAUGUCAGCACAACCAUUCAAGCUAAUGUCCUUAAAUCUUGUGAACUUGGGACUCAGUAUGUUGCCCUAGAGAGGGAGAAGAUCCAACUCCAACUGGAUCUAGAACUCUCCAAGAAGAAUUUGAAGGAUGCUCAGGAUGAAGUGAAGACC